rnacentral:guide_RNA from 1 species
ACAACAGAGAUAAGCACUCUAGAAGAUAUGAUAAAU